UACAGAGGUGGCAAGCGUUGUUCGGAAUUACUGGGCGUAAAGGGCGCGUAGGCGGCCUUCUAAGUCAGACGUGAAAUCCCCCGGCUUAACCUGGGAACUGCGUCUGAUACUGGAUGGCUUGAAUCCGGGAGAGGGAUGCAGAAUUCCAGGUGUAGCGGUGAAAUGCGUAGAUAUCUGGAGGAAUACCGGUGGCGAAGGCGGCAUCCUGGACCGGCAUUGACGCUGAGGAGCGAAAGCUAGGGGAGCAAACGGG
rnacentral:rRNA from 1 species